UCGUUGGGGCCUAUGCAAUGAAAACCUAUGAACCUCGUCAGGUCUGAGAAGAAGCAGCGAUAAAUAGUUAUUUUUAUGUGCCAUGGGGAAACCUGGCGAAUUA
rnacentral:SRP_RNA from 2 species